CCUACGGGAGGCAGCAGUGGGGAAUAUUGGGCAAUGGGCGCAAGCCUGACCCAGCAACGCCGCGUGAAGGAAGAAGGCUUUCGGGUUGUAAACUUCUUUUGUCAGGGACGAAGCACGUGACGGUACCUCACGAAUAAGCCACCGCUAACUACGUGCAUGGAGCCGCGGUAAUACGUAGGUGGCAAGCGUUCUCCGGAUUUACUGGGUGUAAAGGGCGUGUAGGCGGGGAAGCAAGUCAGAUGUGAAAACCACGGGCUCAACCUGUGGCCUGCAUUUGAAACUGUUUGUCUUGAGUGCUGGAGAGGCAAUCGGAAUUCGGUGUGUAGCGGUGAAAUGCGUAGAUAUACCGAGGAACACCAGUGGCGAAGGCGGAUUGCUGGACAGUAACUGACGCUGGUGCGCGAAAGCGUGGGGAUCAAACAGGAUUAGAUACCCGUGUAGUC
rnacentral:rRNA from 1 species